CCUACGGGAGGCAGCAGUGGGGAAUCUUGCGCAAUGGGCGAAAGCCUGACGCAGCCAUGCCGCGUGAAUGAUGGAGGUCUUAGGAUUGUAAAAUUCUUUCAGUAGGGACGAUAAUGACGGUACCUACAGAAGAAGCCCCGGCUAACUUCGUGCCAGCAGCCGCGGUAAUACGAAGGGGGCUAGCGUUGCUCGGAAUUACUGGGCGUAAAGGGAGCGUAGGCGGACAUUUAAGUCAGGGGUGAAAUCCCAGAGCUCAACUCUGGAACUGCCUUUGAUACUGGGUGUCUUGAGUGUGAUAGAGGUAUGUGGAACUCCGAGUGUAGAGGUGAAAUUCGUAGAUAUUCGGAAGAACACCAGUGGCGAAGGCGACAUACUGGAUCAUUACUGACGCUGAGGCUCGAAAGCGUGGGGAGCAAACAGGAUUAGAUACCCUGGUAGUCCACGACCGUAACGAUAGAUGCUAGUUGUCGGUAAGGUUACUUACUCGUGACGCGAGCUACGACAUUAAGUACAAUACCGCCGUCGGGAGGUACGGUCGGCGAAGAAGUUAAACGUUAAAGUUAAGUAAGUUAGUUACGGUCGUUGAGACGUUGCGACGGACGACGACGAGGGAGGAGG
rnacentral:rRNA from 1 species